rnacentral:misc_RNA from 1 species
AACGCACAUUGCGCCCCCUGGCAUUCCGGGGGGCAUGCCUGUCCGAGCGUCAUUUCUCCCCUCAAGCACGGCUUGUGUGUUGGGCGCUGUCCCCCCUGGGGACACGCCCGAAAGGCAGUGGCGGCGCUACGUCAGGUCCUCGAGCGUAUGGGGCAUUGUCACUCGCUCGGGAGGGACCUGCGGGCGCUGGUCUUCCUUGCGCAACCCUCGGGUUGCAUCUAUGGUUGACCUCGGAUCAGGUAGGGUUACCCGCUGAACUUAA